rfam:Schistosoma mattheei strain Denwood, Zambia genome assembly, scaffold: SMTD_scaffold0000548
AUCCAGCUGACGAGUCCUAAACAGAACAAAACAUGUGUCCUCGAU